CCCCGGCCCCAGGCUCGGAGGUGGCAGCCUUUCCUGGUCCGCGCACCGCCAAGCGCAGCCCGGAGCUCCGUGCGAGCGCGCCGCGUCCUGGGUCCUCAGAUCAGCUGCCUUGGAGGCCCAAGCCGCGCGCAAACUUUUGCUCCAGCGCCGCGCGCUUCCUUCACUGCAUGUGAAGCCCCCGCGCGCCAGCGCAGCCGCCAGGUUAGCUCACCAGUGGGCGCCGGGAGCCGAGAUGCUACUCCGGGACCUGGUGCUGCGCCCUGGCUGCUGCUGGCCCUCAUUGCUGCUGCACUGUGCGCUUCACCCACUCUGGGGCUUGGUUCAGGUGACGCAUGCUGAGCCCCAGAAGUCUUGCUCUAAGGUGACUGACAGCUGCCAACAGAUCUGCCAGUGCCGACCCCCACCCCCACUCCCCCCUCCACCUCCACCUCCACCGCCUCCCAGACUACUCUCUGCCCCAGCUCCCAACUCUACCUCGUGCCCUGCAGAGGACAGCUGGUGGUCGGGGCUGGCGAUAGUGGUCGCUGUAGUCUGUGCCUCCUUGGUGUUUCUGAUUGUGCUGGUCAUCAUUUGCUACAAAGCCAUAAAGAGGAACCAAGCCAUUUAAAGGACUUCUCUGUGGCCUCUGCCUUGCUUAGUGGGACCAGCCCAGAUUGGCCCACAGAUUGGAGGAUUGGGAGGAGUCCUAGCAAUAUCUGCUAGCUCUUCCAGAGCCUCAGAAGGUGCAUGCUGAGUAGAAAGUCUGGGCAGACUGAGAUGGAAACCACUGAGAAAAGAUGAAAACGGCACUAGUGUUGCUGAAUACCCCAUGAGCUCUUCCCAGAGUAACAAAGGGGUGGAUGUGAACACUGCAGUGGUGUGAAUCUGCACGCCCUGGACCCACUGGCUGGAAGGGCACCUUGGUGGCACUGGUGGACAUGGGAUAGCAAGUGGACAUGAGCUGACCCUGGGCCUGUCCAGGACUUCAUGCUUUGCAGGCUCGGAGCCUCCUGAAAGAGAAAACAUCCUCUUCCCAGGCUAGCCCUGGUCACCCCAGGGAUGCAGCACAGACACAAGGCUUGAGCCAGGCUCCCCUGCAUGUGGCCCCCCGAGCAGCAGCACCACCCAGGGCUCGCCAUACUCUCUUCCUCGUCUUGUGUUGGGCGCACCAGCCGUCACCGAGUUGCUAUGGAAAGCAUGUAUGCCAAUGAAAGCACGAGGGUCUAUUCGUCUGCCUGGGGCAGAAAGAUGUUCUCACUUUAGCCAGAAGAAAGGCAACCCAGGGACUGCUCCCAUUCUGGAAGCUUCCUCUCCUACAGGAAGCUCACCUGCUUCUCUGUGGACAUUCUAACAAAAGCCAUCACACAGCCACGAGACAAAUGUCCCCAUCCAAAGGUGCUUCCCACACAUCUGUUUGUCACUAUCCGCCAUGGUCUUCCAUCUCCAAAGCCUGUGUCCCCCUCCCUUGCCCACCUACAGCCUCGUCUGUGGCUCCUGACCACAUGCCUGCCAUGGGAAGCAGUGAGCUCAGCCUACAUAGUCCCUAGGGAGUGGACUCAGUGUCUCCCAGAAGCCCAGGCCGAGGGUGUCCCAAGAAAGUAAGAGGUUCUCUU